rnacentral:rRNA from 1 species
AUGCAGGGCCAUCUGCACACCUAUAGGUUCUGCGACAACAUGUGGACAUUCAUCCUAACGGACGCGCAGUUCAAGAAUGAGGAGACCACCGAGUAGGUCGGCAAGGUGAAGAUCGUGGCCUGCGACUCGAAGCUACUCAGCCAAUAA